UGUGCAAUGAUAACCGUAAGUGGAACAAGUUUGAAUCUUAGGAUUGUGACAGUUCUUGACAUUUACUUUAUCAUCAGAAAAUGUCAUCAGUGGUGAAGGAAUCGAUUACAAGGAAGCUUAUUUACAAUUAAAAAAACGAAAUGCUGAGUUAGAGGAGCGUAAUAACUCGCUUCAAAAAGCUUUGGUAGCGGCUGAUAAAGCAUUGGCCAAAAGUAAGGUUCCAGAGGUGCCUUUCACAAAACAAAAUGGUGGCAGGUAUUACAGCGAAGGUGUGUUUUUGAACGAAACUCAGUGCCAAAUACUCGACGGUACUCUUGAUCACAACAAAUAUGUGAACAAUCUUGCGCUCGCGAUAUUUGGCAGAGAGACGCUAAAGAACAGUAGCGUAACGGGUACUGCAAGCAAGAAAGUCGACGCUCCUGCUAAGCCUCCAUUAAACCCAUUAUGGCUACAGCUAUUAUACGAUCUGACCGACGCUCGAACCAAUAAAUCGAUGAGCAAAAGCGAUAUCAACAUAAUUCUAAAUAAGAAAAUUUCCAAUUUUAAUGGUGCGGACAAGAGAAAAUCAGAAAAAGUCGCGCUCGAUACCCGCAACAAACUUGUGUCCAAGGCCAGUGAUGUCCGCAACGGACUCAGCGGAUAAUUCUGUAGUAAGUUGUUUUGUGGAAACACAUCAACAACCCAAUCGUGGAUUCGGCAACGAAAUGUUUUUUUUAAUGUCUUUUGGUCCCAACAUAAUGGGCCUUUGAAUGUACGGAAAUUGUAAAAAUACCUUCACUUGACGUGAUAAUGAAUACAGCCAGUGAAGUGUCAAAUGAAGUGUCAAAAAAAGGUCUUUUCAUUUGACGAAUGUUGGUAAAUUUUAGUGAGCUGUAAGCAAAAUAGAAAUCUUAAAAGUACAUAAUUUCUUAAGAUA